AUUGAACGCUGGCGGCAUGCCUUACACAUGCAAGUCGAGCGGCAGCACAGUUGCUUCCUCCUGUUGGCGAGUGGCGAACGGGUGAGUAUUACAUCUGAACCUGUCCUUUAUUUUUGGAGGGCCCUACGGAAGCCGGAUUAAUACCACAUACGAUCUACGGCUGAGAGCGGGGGACGUGGAGGCUUCGCGCUUUAGGGUUUGCAGAUGCCUGAUUAGCUAGUUGGCGGGGUAAAGGCCUACCAAGGCGACGAUCAGUAGCUGGUCUGAGAGGACGAGCAGCCACACUGGGACUGAGACACGGUCCAGACUCCUACGGGAGGCAGCAGUGGGGAAUUUUGGACAAUGGGCGAAAGCCUGAUCCAGCAAUGCCGCGUGUGUGAAGAAGGCCUUCGGGUUGUAAAGCACUUUUGUUCGGAAAGAAAUCCUUCGCCCUAAUACGGUCGGGGGAUGACGGUACCGGAAGAAUAAGCACCGGCUAACUACGUG
rnacentral:rRNA from 1 species